CCUACGGGUGGCAGCAGUGAGGAAUAUUGGUCAAUGGACGGGAGUCUGAACCAGCCAUGCCGCGUGCGGGAUGACGGCUCUGUGAAUUGUAAACUGCUUUUGUAUUAGGAUAAACACCCGUACGUGUAGGCGCUUGAAAGUAUCUUACGAAUAAGGAUCGGCUAACUCCGUGCCAGCAGCCGCGGUAAUACGGAGGAUCCGAGCGUUAUCCGGAUUUAUUGGGUUUAAAGGGUGCGUAGGCGGUGUGAUAAGUUAGAGGUGAAAUACCGGUGCUCAACACCGGAACUGCCUUUAAUACUGUUGAACUAGAGAGUAGUUGAGGUAGGCGGAAUGUAUGGUGUAGCGGUGAAAUGCUUAGAGAUCAUACAGAACACCGAUUGCGAAGGCAGCUUACCAAACCAUAUCUGACGUUGAGGCACGAAAGCGUGGGUAGCAAACAGGAUUAGAUACCCGGGUAGUC
rnacentral:rRNA from 1 species